rnacentral:rRNA from 1 species
UACGUAGGCAGCGAGCGUUGUUCGGAGUUACUGGGCGUAAAGGGUGUGUAGGCGGUUUUCUAAGUUUGGUGUGAAAUCUCCCGGCUUAACCGGGAGGGUGCGCCGAAAACUGGGAGACUAGAGUGCGGGAUGGGAGAGUAGAAUUCCUGGUGUAGCGGUGAGAUGCGUAGAUAUCAGGAGGAAUACCGGUGGUGCAGACGGCUCUCUGGACCGCAACUGACGCUGAGACACGAAAGCGUGGGUAGCAAACAGG